UAUUUACUGUUCCCUUCUUUACACAAAGUGAAGUCCUGUUGCAGCCAUUUUCACUUUUUUCUGGAUAAACGUCUGGUAUCUCUUUGUAAUCAUCGUGAUCCUCAAAAUCAUCCAGAGGUUUAUCGCGCCACGAGAAACUUUUAUUUUCUAACGCAAACGUCUGGUAUCUCUUUGUAAUCAUCGUGAUCCUCAAAAUCAUCCAGAGGUUUAUCGCGCCACGAGAAACUUUUACUUCUCCAUGUAAAAGAAUGUGAUUGAAGUGGUUUGACAUCAUCUCGAUACCUUAUAUUCUCAGAAUAUGUCGAUGGGAGAAGGAAAGAAAGGAUAGAUGUUACAGAUUUUCCUUCCUUAGUAUACGGCCU
rnacentral:lncRNA from 1 species